CUACGGGUGGCUGCAGUGGGGAAUAUUGGACAAUGGACGCAAGCCUGAUCCAGCAAUACCGCGUGUGUGAAGAAGGCCUGCGGGUUGUAAAGCACUUUCAAUUGUGAAGAAAAGCGAGGGCUUAAUACGCUCUUGUCUUGACGUUAACUUUAGAAGAAGCACCGGCUAACUCUGUGCCAGCAGCCGCGGUAAUACAGAGGGUGCGAGCGUUAAUCGGAAUUACUGGGCGUAAAGCGUACGUAGGCGGUUUAGUAAGUCAGAUGUGAAAGCCCUGGGCUCAACCUGGGAACUGCAUUUGAAACUGCUAGACUAGAGUGUGGUAGAGGGAAGUGGAAUUCCGGGUGUAGCGGUGAAAUGCGUAGAUAUCCGGAGGAACACCAGUGGCGAAGGCGACUUCCUGGACCAACACUGACGCUGAGGUACGAAAGCGUGGGUAGCAAACAGGAUUAGAUACCCGUGUAGUC
rnacentral:rRNA from 1 species